CGACCCCGUACGGGAGAGUCCUCCGGUGAGAUGCACCGGAGGCGCCGAAGGAGCAACUCCUCCCCGGAAUCUCUCAGGCUCACGUACCGUACGGACGAG
rfam:Streptomyces oceani strain SCSIO 02100 scaffold15, whole genome shotgun sequence.